rnacentral:lncRNA from 1 species
GGCCUGGCAGCUGUGGGGACACCCAGCCACGCUGUGCCCCUGGGUGCUGGCUCCGCCACAGGACAUUUCUGCCCGGCGUCCCCCUUGGGGCCAGUCUGGACUUGCUCCUCCUCUUGUGCAAACAGGAUUUGGGCAGAUAAGGGGCACUGCCAGCGCUGCCCGGCAAACCUGCUCUGUCCCACGUGGCCACGGGAGAGUCCUCACCACGCCUGGCCCUGAGGGUGCCCGGUGGGUGCCACAAGGUCCCUAUGCCUUGGCACUGCCCGCUGCUGCCAGGCCGCUCUGCUUGUCCCCAGCAGUGCUGUGCCCGUGCCACAACACCUUGGGAAGCUCUUUGUUAUUCUGGAUUUUGGUACUGGCUAAAUCCCAGUUUUCUGUGUGAUAAAAACCACCUGGGAAGUGAUCCCUGUGAGGUGGGGCAGGUGCUGCCAGGCUCCUUCCAUGUGGUUGCUCAGCAGCUCUCUCCUCUGCGGUCUAGGGCCAGCACCUGCCAGCGCAGUGUCUCAGAACAGCUCAGGGACAGCCGUGUCACCGUCUCCAUCCCGUUCAGCCAGAGCCAGCAGCCAGGGGACUCAGGGUGUGAGUCUCUCUGGCCGUGACCUGGGAGCACUCAGUGCAUCUCUAUCGACAGCAGCAGUUCCAUCCAAUUCCUCCAGUACCGCCCCAGGGCCAACAACACCCCCAUCACCUUCAUCCAACACCACCACCACAACUCCAUCCAGUACCUUGGGAUCAAUACCUCCAUCACCUUCAUCCAGCCCAACCACCACAACUCCAUCCAGUACCUCGGGAUCAACACGUCCAUCUUCUCCAUCCAGCACCACCACAGCUCCAUCUUCAGCCGGGACACCGGGAUCAACACCUUUGACACCCUCAUCCAAUGCCACCACGGCACCAACUCCAUCCCACACGAGUGUGUCCAGAUCCACAGAGCAUCCAUCCAACUCCACCACACCGCCAGCCCCAUCCUCACCCAGGCCCUCUGUUCCUGCUUCUCCCAGCUCCCCCACGCCCACCGUGAGCCCCAACAGCACCAGCACUGUCACCACCAGCUCCAGAGCGACAGCAGCCCCUGGCAGCACAGCUGGGAGCUCCGAGCAGCACCCCGCAGAGCUGAGCCCCGCUGUGGUCGCCCUCAUCUCCCUCGCCGUCUGCCUGCUGGUGGCGGGGGUGGCCGUGCUGCUGGUGCGGCUGUCCCGGCGCGGGACCCCCCGCUUCCAACACCUGGAUGAGGUGCCCAUGAGCAAAGUGAUGGAGGGGUCCCCCGUCACCCCCCCGACCCCCAGCUGAC